rnacentral:lncRNA from 1 species
UAUCCUAUAGGCCUGUGAUUCUCAACUAGGACCAAAGUUACAAAAUUGGAUGAAAACUUCCAGUGGAUACUGAAAAUACAACGAGUUAUGUGAGCACAUCUGUGUAGGAGGGGAAGAAGCAGUUCUCAUGAUCGUCUAGAAGACAAACCCUUGGACCACUGAAGAAUUCACCUGAAGAAUAAAUCUGUCUUACAGCAUUAAGUUUG